AAGUGAAAAUUUAAUAGAAACAAAGUUUCCACAAUUAAAAUUAAUUACGAUUGUUGUAUUCAAUAUUUCAAUGUACUAUGCGAAGUCAUUUCCAAUACUUAAAUUAAAUUAAACGUUAUUAGUGUUAUAAUAUACAUUAAAAUGGGAUCUGCAAAUAGUACUCAAAUUCCGGGUGGAGGAACAGAAGGAUAUCAUGUUUUGAAAGUUCAAGACAAUUCACCUGGUCAAGCAGCAGGUUUAGAAGCUUUUUUUGAUUUUAUAUUGGCUAUUAAUAACACACGACUUGAUAAAGACAAUGAUACUCUUAAAGAAAUGUUAAAGAAUGGAGAUGGCAAUGAAAUUUUAUUAGCUGUAUACAGCAGCAAAACACAAAUUGUUAGAGAAGUCAAAAUUGUACCAAAUAGUAAUUGGGGUGGUCAAGGAUUGUUGGGUGUGAGCAUACGAUUUUGUUCUUUUGCUGGAGCCAAUGAAAACGUCUGGCAUAUUCUUGAUGUUCAUCCAAAUUCUCCCGCUGAUAAAGCUGGCCUUAGGUCACAUACAGAUUAUAUAAUUGGAUCUGAUUCUAUAAUGCAUGAAAGUGAAGAUUUGUUUAUGCUAAUUGAAGCACAUGAAGGCAGGCCAUUAAAAUUAUACGUCUAUAAUGUUGAAAUGGAUACAUGUAGAGAAGUUUCAAUUACACCAGAUACUGCAUGGCCUGGUGAAGGAAGCUUGGGCUGUGGAAUAGGUUAUGGGUACCUACAUAGAAUACCUAUUAGACAAGUAUAUCAAAAUAAGGAUAUUCCAGCACCACCUGUUAUAAAACCAGCUGUUGUCAACAAUGUGAUGGCAUCUGCUGCUCAAGUACCACAAGUAAUUAAUCCACCAGUUCUGACACCACAACCACCUAUUAUUUCUGAUCUUCCAGUGACUGUUAAUAAUUCAACUAUUGAAGCAGAACAAUUUAAGGAACAGCUACCAUUGAAUGAAAGCAUUCAAACUACAUCAAUACCAUUUAUCAACAAAACAAAACCUGAAAUGCCUAUAAUCACGCCUACAGAUCAACAAAUACCUUAUUCAAGCAAUUCAGCGCCUUUACCUUAUUUUCCUCCACAAAUAAAUACAUUUCAAAAUCCUAAUAUUCCCACAUUCCAAGUUUUAAAUUCUCAGUAUAGCCCCCAACAAUCAGGUUCUACUUCUGAAACAAUAAAACCUUAUGUAUUGACACCCCAAGUAACAAAAUUACCACCAUUUACAUCACAAGAGUCUACCACUGUUUCUGCAUCUCAAGAACAAUCAUCCAUAACAUCCGUGAGCCUCUCCGAAACUGCUACAAUUCAAGAAUUGAAUAACCAGUCAUCAAAUAUAUUUUCUCCACAGAGUAGUUAUUCCCCUCAAUCCCAUUCUACUGAUAUUGGAAGUACUACAACAGUAGCUGAUGUACAGAGUUCUAAAGACAUAAGUAAUUACUUCACACAGUUUCAAACUCAAGUCAGCCAAUCAAAUAGUUCAAGUACUAUACCUAUGUUUUCUGUGAAGAAUUUUCCACAGAUGUCACCUUUAGCACAACCUCUUGGAAAUAAUUAUUUGAAAAUUUUUGAUCCUCAAUCACAACCAGCAACUCCGCAGCCUCAACCAGGUAGUCAAAAAUAACUGUGAACUCUACAGGAUCAAUUAUUCGGAUCAAUUUCAACCUUUGCAGCCAUUACAACACCAACCAAAUGCUUACUCAGGAAUGCCACUUACAACUCCAAUAUCUUUACCAGGCAUGCCACCAAUAACUGUUAGCGCAACUUUACCUUAUUCAGCUAUAGAGAGCCUACAAAUUGAUCAGAAGAAAAAUAUUUUAAAUAGUAAUAGCUAAACACUUUUUAUUUAGGUC